rnacentral:rRNA from 1 species
CAAUAGCGUAUAUUAAAGUUGUUGCGGUUAAAAAGCUCGUAGUUGGAUUUCUGCCGAGGACGUCCGGUCCGCCCUCUGGGUGUGUACAUGGUACGGCCUGGGCAUCUUCUUGGAAAACGUAUCUGCACUUGACUGUGUGGUGCGGUAUCCAGGACUUUUACUUUGAGGAAAUUAGAGUGUUUCAAGCAGGCCUACGCCUUGAAUACAUUAGCAUGGAAUAAUAAGAUAGGACCUCGGUUCUAUUUUGUUGGUUUCUAGAGCUGAGGUAAUGAUUAAUAGGGAUAGUUGGGGGCAUUCGUAUUUAACUGUCAGAGGUGAAAUUCUUGGAUUUAUGAAAGACUAACAUCUGCGAAAGCAUUUGCCAAGGAUGUUUUCAUUGA